UAGUGGCGACGGGUGAGUAACACGUGGGCAAUCUGCCCUGCACUCUGGGACAAGCCCUGGAAACGGGGUCUAAUACCGGAUACUGACCAUCUUGGGCAUCCUUGAUGGUCGAAAGCUCCGGCGGUGCAGGAUGAGCCCGCGGCCUAUCAGCUUGUUGGUGAGGUAAUGGCUCACCAAGGCGACGACGGGUAGCCGGCCUGAGAGGGCGACCGGCCACACUGGGACUGAGACACGGCCCAGACUCCUACGGGAGGCAGCAGUGGGGAAUAUUGCACAAUGGGCGAAAGCCUGAUGCAGCGACGCCGCGUGAGGGAUGACGGCCUUCGGGUUGUAAACCUCUUUCAGCAGGGAAGAAGCGAAAGUGACGGUACCUGCAGAAGAAGCGCCGGCUAACUACGUGCCAGCAGCCGCGGUAAUACGUAGGGCGCGAGCGUUGUCCGGAAUUAUUGGGCGUAAAGAGCUCGUAGGCGGCUUGUCACGUCGGUUGUGAAAGCCCGGGGCUUAACCCCGGGUCUGCAGUCGAUACGGGCAGGCUAGAGUUCGGUAGGGGAGAUCGGAAUUCCUGGUGUAGCGGUGAAAUGCGCAGAUAUCAGGAGGAACACCGGUGGCGAAGGCGGAUCUCUGGGCCGAUACUGACGCUGAGGAGCGAAAGCGUGGGGAGCGAACAGGAUUAGAUACCCUGGUAGUCCACGCCGUAAACGGUGGGCACUAGGUGUGGGCAACAUUCCACGUUGUCCGUGCCGCAGCUAACGCAUUAAGUG
rnacentral:rRNA from 1 species